UACGGAGGGUGCAAGCGUUAUCCGGAUUCACUGGGCUUAAAGGGUGCGUAGGCGGGUUGGUAAGUCCGUGGUGAAAUCCCCAAGCUUAACUUGGGAACUGCCGUGGAUACUAUCAAUCUUGAAUAUCGUGGAGGUAAGCGGAAUAUGUCAUGUAGCGGUGAAAUGCUUAGAUAUGACAUAGAACACCAAUGGCGUAGGCAGCUUACUAGACGAUCAUUGACGCUGAGGCACGAAAGCGUGGGGAGCAAACAGG
rnacentral:rRNA from 1 species